rnacentral:rRNA from 1 species
CCUACGGGGUGCAGCAGUCGAGAAUCAUUCACAAUGGGGGAAACCCUGAUGGUGCGACGCCGCGUGGGGGAAUGAAGGUCUUCGGAUUGUAAACCCCUGUCAUGUGGGAGCAAAUUAAAAAGAUCGUACCACACGAGGAAGAGACGGCUAACUCUGUGCCAGCAGCCGCGGUAAUACAGAGGUCUCAAGCGUUGUUCGGAAUCACUGGGCGUAAAGCGUGCGUAGGCUGUUUCGUAAGUCGUGUGUGAAAGGCGCGGGCUCAACCCGCGGACGGCACAUGAUACUGCGAGACUAGAGUAAUGGAGGGGGAACCGGAAUUCUCGGUGUAGCAGUGAAAUGCGUAGAUAUCGAGAGGAACACUCGUGGCGAAGGCGGGUUCCUGGACAGUAACUGACGCUGAGGCACGAAGGCCAAGGGAGCGAAAGGGAUUAGAUACCCCGGUAGUC